rnacentral:rRNA from 1 species
UACGAAGGGGGCUAGCGUUGCUCGGAAUCACUGGGCGUAAAGCGCACGUAGGCGGAUUGUUAAGUCAGGGGUGAAAUCCUGGAGCUCAACUCCAGAACUGCCUUUGAUACUGGCGAUCUCGAGUCCGGGAGAGGUGAGUGGAACUGCGAGUGUAGAGGUGAAAUUCGUAGAUAUUCGCAAGAACACCAGUGGCGAAGGCGGCUCACUGGCCCGGUACUGACGCUGAGGU